CUGGCGGCGUGCUUAACACAUGCAAGUCGAGCGGUAACGCGGGGGCAACCCUGGCGACGAGCGGCGAACGGGUGCGUAAUGCAAUGGGAAUCUGCCUGGUAGUGGGGAAUAACCCGGGGAAACUCGGGCUAAUGCCGCAUACGACCUACGGGUGAAAGCGGGGGACCGUAAGGCCUCGCGCUAUCGGAUGAGCCCAUGUCGGAUUAGCUAGUUGGUAGGGUAACGGCCUACCAAGGCGACGAUCCGUAGCUGGUCUGAGAGGACGGCCAGCCACACUGGGACUGAGACACGGCCCAGACUCCUACGGGAGGCAGCAGUGGGGAAUAUUGGACAAUGGGGGAAACCCUGAUCCAGCGACGCCGCGUGUGUGAAGAAGGCCUGCGGGUUGUAAAGCACUUUCGGUGGGAACGAAAUAUGCCGGGCCAAUACCCCGGCAGGCUGACGUUACCCAAUGAAGAAGCACCGGCUAACUCUGUGCCAGCAGCCGCGGUAAUACAGAGGGUGCGAGCGUUAAUCG
rnacentral:rRNA from 1 species